GAUCCCUUAUCUUGUAUUUGUAUGGUUUGAUCUUUGGUAUUAGCCAUUAUCUGAACUAUUGCCUCUAGUGGCCAAAAAAUUGUGUUACAAGUGCCAGAGUGGCACACCUGAAACCAAUGCAACUAUAAGUACUGCGUGAUUCUGUCUGUUUGUUACCAACACCCUGAUGAAGGCCAAUGGGCCGAUACGCGUUGGUGUUUUAAUGCUUUAGCCCAACCAUUAAAGGCUUUUUAACUUUUGCAUCCUAUUGAGUGCCUGGACUUGGAUUUUUUUCCAAAAUCUUUUUCUAAGAAAAUCCAAUGGUGAGCCAGUGAUGGAAUGAUAAAUUUCUCCAAUUUUGUUCCGAUGGAGAAACAAACUCAGCUACAUCUUGGAUGUGUGAGGACACGUUCGAGCUGCAUUCGGUGUAGCUCGAGCUGGUGGCCAUGGAAAAGCAGAUUCGCGACCUGGGGGUGAGGCAGGCCCAGCUGAGAGAGCGGAGAGCCACGCUGGAAAACUCCUGGGCUGAUGCUCACAUAUCUGGGGUAAGUAUACAGCGUGCUGCUAACAGUCCGACCACCUCUACUAGGUGUGUUUCUCUGCACAGGCCCGGUGCACCCAGGACGCGAUCUUCCCAGAUGUCCUACACUCCGGCGCCGGGACACCUCGGACCCUGGAUGCAUCCACAGCGGAGGAUGCAAGCCAGGCCCCGGGCGAUGACUUCUCCCCCUCAGGUCAUCGAGAUCUCCACCUGGAACCACUUCACUCCCCUCCGCGAGACAGGACACGACACUGUGAUCAUCGGAGACUCCAUCGUCUGACAUGUCCAUGCUACGUUAGCCAAAGGUAAAGUGCUGUUUCCCUGGUGCUCGUGUUCUCGAUGUUUCUGCGCAGAUACCCACGAUCCUGAAGGCCGACGAGAGCCCCCGAGCGGUCGUGCUUCACACCGGGGUUAAUGACACCAUGCUGCGGCAGACGGAGACGCUGAAGAGGGACUUCAGGAGCCUGAUCGAGACGGUUCGCAGCACGAAGCGCGCGGCGAAGAUCAUCGUGUCAGGACCACUGCCCACAUAUCGAUGAGGACACGAAAGGUUCAGUAGACUUGUUGCUUUAAAUGAAUGGUUGUUGUCAUGGUGUAAAGAACAGAAACUGCUAUUUGUUAAUAAUUGGAAUCUUUUCUGUGAGCAUCAUAGGCUUUUUCGCGCUGAUGGCCUGCACCCCAGCAGAGUUGGAGCAGAACUUCUCUCUGACAACAUCUCAAGGACACUUGGCUCCAUAUGACUAGAUUUACAUCCUAUGGUAACUAGGAUUUACACAAGCUCCAGUCUGGAUCCAGAACACCUGAGAAGAGAUGAUGCUGACCCUCAGAUGACCUCAGAUGAUGCUAACCCUGAAUCAACAAACAGAACUAACAAAUAUUGCUACAAGUGUGAUUGCAUCAUAUAAUAAUUGCUGUUGAUAAUGUUCAUUGUCUGGCUGACUAAGUCUUGUAUUCAUUUUUCAGAAAAAUCAUGUCAUAUGCACACAAAU